GGUGGGAAUCAAGGGAAACGGCGUUGGAUCUGGGCAUCGGCGACCGGCUGUGUGAGGUAACGCCCAUUGUUUCCUUCCGAUUUUUCCCUUGUUUUGUUCGUCGGCAAGAACAAGUCGAGCCCUAACUUCGAUCUCGGAGAGAUUGGUGUCUUGUUUCUGGCCACCACAGCUGGACUAGAUCAACUCCUCCACCGGAUCUGUGAUCGUACUCUAGCCAAGAUCCUGAGAGAAGCAGAGCUUGUGUUGUGAUUCCGGCCACUACAGCUCUGGUGGGGAUUGCUCUUCUUCCUCAGAUCUGUGGUUUGCUCCGGCGAUCAAGAAGAGAUGCAGCAUGUAGUCUUCUGUGGUAGGGAAAUG